rnacentral:tRNA from 1 species
GAAAAUAUAGCUGGGGUUACAGCCUUCCAAGUUUGAGAUUCGGAUAGCCAGUUCGUGCUGUUUCCAUUGUAUAAGAUCAUCCUUGGUAUUUUCUC